rnacentral:rRNA from 1 species
GACGAACGCUGGCGGCGUGCUUAACACAUGCAAGUCGAGCGGUAAGGCCCUUUCGGGGGUACACGAGCGGCGAACGGGUGAGUAACACGUGGGUGACCUGCCCUCAGCUCUGGGAUAAGCCUGGGAAACCGGGUCUAAUACCGGAUAUGACUCCAUGACGCAUGUUGUGGGGUGGAAAGCCUUGUGCGGCUGAGGAUGGGCCCGCGGCCUAUCAGCUUGUUGGUGGGGUGAUGGCCUACCAAGGCGACGACGGGUAGCCGGCCUGAGAGGGCGACCGGCCACACUGGGACUGAGACACGGCCCAGACUCCUACGGGAGGCAGCAGGUGGGGAAUAUUGCGCAAUGGGCGUAAGCCUGACGCAGCGACGCCGCGUGGGGAUGAAGGCC